GGAAUCAGUUCAACGUCGAGGUCGGCAGAAGUGACAAGCUUUCCCUGCCUGGCUUUGAGAACCUCACAGCAGGAUAUAACAAAUUUCUCAGGCCCAAUUUUGGUGGAGAACCCGUACAGAUAGCACUGACUCUGGACAUUGCAAGUAUCUCUAGCAUUUCAGAGAGUAACAUGGUAAGCGCUGUUCCUUUGUACUCUACCCAAGUAGUCCCUCUCUGUGUGUUUAAAGGGGAUAUGCUUUCUAGCCGCUCAAAAAAA
rnacentral:sRNA from 1 species